rnacentral:rRNA from 1 species
GACGAACGCUGGCGGCGUGCCUAAUACAUGCAAGUCGAGCGAAUCUUGAGGUGCUUGCACCUCUUGAUUAGCGGCGGACGGGUGAGUAACACGUGGGCAACCUGCCUGUAAGACUGGGAUAACUUCGGGAAACCGGAGCUAAUACCGGAUAAUUCUUUCCCUCUCAUGAGGGAAAGCUGAAAGACGGUUUCGGCUGUCACUUACAGAUGGGCCCGCGGCGCAUUAGCUAGUUGGUGAGGUAACGGCUCACCAAGGCGACGAUGCGUAGCCGACCUGAGAGGGUGAUCGGCCACACUGGGACGGGGACACGGCCCAGACUCCUACGGGAGGCAGCAGUAGGGAAUCUUCCGCAAUGGACGAAAGUCUGACGGAGCAACGCCGCGUGAGCGAUGAAGGCCUUCGGGUCGUAAAGCUCUGUUGUUAGGGAAGAACAAGUAUCGGAGUAACUGCCGGUGCCUUGACGGUACCUAACCAGAAAGCCACGGCUAACUACGUGCCAGCCGCCGCAGUAAGAC